UACGAAGGGGACUAGCGUUGUUCGGAUUUACUGGGCGUAAAGGGUGCGUAGGCGGGGCUUUAAGUCAGGGGUGAAAUCCUGGAGCUCAACUCCAGAACUGCCUUUGAUACUGAAGAUCUUGAGUUCGGGAGAGGUGAGUGGAACUGCGAGUGUAGAGGUGAAAUUCGUAGAUAUUCGCAAGAACACCAGUGGCGAAGGCGGCUCACUGGCCCGAUACUGACGCUGAGGCACGAAAGCGUGGGGAGCAAACAGG
rnacentral:rRNA from 1 species